GGGAGCUUGCUCCGCUGACGAGUGGCGAACGGGUGAGUAAUAUAUCGGAACGUACCCAAGAGUGGGGGAUAACGUAGCGAAAGUUACGCUAAUACCGCAUACGAUCCAAGGAUGAAAGCAGGGGACCUUCGGGCCUUGUGCUCCUGGAGCGGCCGAUAUCUGAUUAGCUAGUUGGUGAGGUAAAGGCUCACCAAGGCGACGAUCAGUAGCUGGUCUGAGAGGACGACCAGCCACACUGGAACUGAGACACGGUCCAGACUCCUACGGGAGGCAGCAGUGGGGAAUUUUGGACGAUGGGCGCAAGCCUGAUCCAGCAAUGCCGCGUGAGUGAAGAAGGCCUUCGGGUUGUAAAGCUCUUUUGUCAGGGAAGAAACGGCUGUGGCUAAUAUCCACGGCUAAUGACGGUACCUGAAGAAUAAGCACCGGCUAACUACGUGCCAGCAGCCGCGGUAAUACGUAGGGUGCAAGCGUUAAUCGGAAUUACUGGGCGUAAAGCGUGCGCAGGCGGUUUUGUAAGUCUGUCGUGAAAUCCCCGGGCUCAACCUGGGAAUUGCGAUGGAGACUGCAAGGCUAGAAUCUGGCAGAGGGGGGUAGAAUUCCACGUGUAGCAGUGAAAUGCGUAGAGAUGUGGAGGAACACCGAUGGCGAAGGCAGCCCCCUGGGUCAAGAUUGACGCUCAUGCACGAAAGCGUGGGGAGCAAACAGGAUUAGAUACCCUGGUAGUCCACGCCCUAAACGAUGUCUACUAGUUGUCGGGUUUUAAUUAACUUGGUAACGCAGCUAACGCGUGAAGUAGACCGCCUGGGGAGUACGGUCGCAAGAUUAAAACUCAAAGGAAUUGAC
rnacentral:rRNA from 1 species